rnacentral:rRNA from 1 species
UACGGAGGGUGCGAGCGUUGUCCGGAAUCAUUGGGCGUAAAGGGUGCGUAGGUGGCGCGUUAAGUCCGUUGUGAAAUCCCUGGGCUCAACCCAGGAAUUGCUUCGGAUACUGGCGUGCUUGAGGCUAGUAGGGGUCACUGGAACUGACGGUGGAGCGGUGAAAUGUGUAGAUAUCGGGAGGAACACCAGUGGCGAAGGCGACUUCCUGGCCUGUUCUUGACGCUGAGGCGCGAAAGCUAGGGGAGCAAACGGG